rfam:Asian citrus Psyllid, Diaphorina citri - Florida Strain, whole genome shotgun sequence.
UUUGAAUCUUUUAUUAUUAUCUUUUUCUUUUCUGUUUUUCACCUGCCUUGGGCCCGGUACGAGUGUUUUUUCGGUGAAAAACAGAAAAGAAAAAGAUAAUAAUAAAAGAUUCAAAUUUGAAUCUUUUAUUAU